rnacentral:tRNA from 1 species
AAAGGGAGACCUAAUUCAGGUAAAAGACGAAAAAAAAGUAGUCGCUACCAAGAAUCAAUCCCAAAAGGUCGGAGCGAGGCGAAAUUGGCUUUCAAACUAGGUUCUGGGUUCAAACAAGACCUGAAUCAGGAACAAGGGCUAUUAGCUCAGGUGGUUAGAGCGCACCCCUGAUAAGGGUGAGGUCCCUGGUUCGAGUCCAGGAUGGCCCACCUGCACAGGUGGCAAAAACAAAAGAAGCGAGGAAUCAGCACCUUAUCUUAUAUACAUAUAUAAGAGAGAAUGCUGGCUCUGAGUACAGAGUCCAGAGGAACCUUGAAAACUGCAUAGAGCUAGGUGAAAAAGCCAAAAAAGAAGACCGCAAG